UCUCACGAGCCUGGCCAUUCUGUUUAGUUGAACUUCGCAAUCAUCUGGGAACUCAAUGGUGACGUGGGUAGUGGGCAGUCACGGUGCUCCCACCUUGCUCUCUAGUGAAGGAGGCAAGCAAACCAACCCGCAGGAUGACUUCAGAUGAGCAAAGCCAUGGAUGAUGACAGAGGCAAAGACGGCACACACAGCACCGAGCUUUACUGUCAGCAGAGAUCCUUGCUAAGGACUGAAAUGGCCACAGAAACAGAGCUUCGAGAACUGUUAAGGAAACACCAUUCCGUAGGCCUCCAAAAAAAUGAACACAGUUGGCUUGGGAAGAGACAUUGGAGAGACAGGAUGGUACAUUAAAUAAAAUAU